UACCAGCUCUCCGAGUGGUGUGGAUGUUUAUUGGGCCUAAAGCAUCCGUAGCUGGCUGGACAAGUCCCCUGUUAAAUCCACCGAUUUAAUCGUUGGUGUGCGGGGGAUACUGUUCGGCUAGGGGACGGGAGAGGCCGACGGUAUUUUCGGGGUAGGGGUGAAAUCCUAUAAUCCCGGGAAGACCACCAGUGGCGAAGGCUGUCGGCUAGAACGCGCCCGACGGUGAGGGAUGAAAGCUGGGGGAGCGAACCGGAUUAGAUACCCGGGUAGUCCCAGCUGUAAACGAUGCAGGCUAGGUGUUUGGGCGGCCACGUGCCGCUCUAGUGCCGCAGAGAAGUCGUUAAGCCUGCCGCCUGGGGAGUACGGCCGCAAGGCUGAAACUUAAAGGAAUUGGCGGGGGAGCACCACAAGGGGUGAAGCUUGCGGUUU
rnacentral:rRNA from 1 species